AGGUAGCAUAAUCAAUAGUCUUUUAAUUGGAGGCUUGAAUGAAGGGUUUGACGGAAAGAAAAGUGUCUCCUUGGUUUAUAUUGAAAUUAACUUUUGUGUGAAAAGGCAUUAAUAAAUUAGUGGGACGAUAAGACCCUAUAAAACUUAAUAUAUAUUAUACUGCUUCUUAGGAUUGAAUUAUUAAUUAUAGAGUGGUAAAGUGUAUUUUGCUGGGGCGGCAUGAAUAUAAUUUGUAACUGUUUGUAAUGUGAAAUAUGAUUUUAUAGAUAUUGGUCCUUCAUUGAGGAGGUAAGAGUAAGUUACUUUAGGGAUAACAG
rnacentral:rRNA from 1 species